GGGUUGUGAGGUUAAGCGACUAAGCGUACACGGUGGAUGCCCUGGCAGUCAGAGGCGAUGAAGGACGUGCUAAUCUGCGAUAAGCGUCGGUAAGGUGAUAUGAACCGUUAUAACCGGCGAUUUCCGAAUGGGGAAACCCAGUGUGAUUCGUCACACUAUCAUUAACUGAAUCCAUAGGUUAAUGAGGCGAACCGGGGGAACUGAAACAUCUAAGUACCCCGAGGAAAAGAAAUCAACCGAGAUUCCCCCAGUAGCGGCGAGCGAACGGGGAGCAGCCCAGAGCCUGAAUCAGUGUGUGUGUUAGUGGAAGCGUCUGGAAAGGCGUGCGAUACAGGGUGACAGCCCCGUACACAAAAAUGCACAUACUGUGAGCUCGAUGAGUAGGGCGGGACACGUGGUAUCCUGUCUGAAUAUGGGGGGACCAUCCUCCAAGGCUAAAUACUCCUGACUGACCGAUAGUGAACCAGUACCGUGAGGGAAAGGCGAAAAGAACCCCGGCGAGGGGAGUGAAAAAGAACCUGAAACCGUGUACGUACAAGCAGUGGGAGCACGCUUAGGCGUGUGACUGCGUACCUUUUGUAUAAUGGGUCAGCGACUUAUAUUCUGUAGCAAGGUUAACCGAAUAGGGGAGCCGAAGGGAAACCGAGUCUUAACUGGGCGUUAAGUUGCAGGGUAUAGACCCGAAACCCGGUGAUCUAGCCAUGGGCAGGUUGAAGGUUGGGUAACACUAACUGGAGGACCGAACCGACUAAUGUUGAAAAAUUAGCGGAUGACUUGUGGCUGGGGGUGAAAGGCCAAUCAAACCGGGAGAUAGCUGGUUCUCCCCGAAAGCUAUUUAGGUAGCGCCUCGUGAAUUCAUCUCCGGGGGUAGAGCACUGUUUCGGCAAGGGGGUCAUCCCGACUUACCAACCCGAUGCAAACUGCGAAUACCGGAGAAUGUUAUUACGGGAGACACACGGCGGGUGCUAACGUCCGUCGUGAAGAGGGAAACAACCCAGACCGCCAGCUAAGGUCCCAAAGUCAUGGUUAAGUGGGAAACGAUGUGGGAAGGCCCAGACAGCCAGGAUGUUGGCUUAGAAGCAGCCAUCAUUUAAAGAAAGCGUAAUAGCUCACUGGUCGAGUCGGCCUGCGCGGAAGAUGUAACGGGGCUAAACCAUGCACCGAAGCUGCGGCAGCGACGCUUAUGCGUUGUUGGGUAGGGGAGCGUUCUGUAAGCCUGUGAAGGUGUGCUGUGAGGUAUGCUGGAGGUAUCAGAAGUGCGAAUGCUGACAUAAGUAACGAUAAAGCGGGUGAAAAGCCCGCUCGCCGGAAGACCAAGGGUUCCUGUCCAACGUUAAUCGGGGCAGGGUGAGUCGACCCCUAAGGCGAGGCCGAAAGGCGUAGUCGAUGGGAAACAGGUUAAUAUUCCUGUACUUGGUGUUACUGCGAAGGGGGGACGGAGAAGGCUAUGUUGGCCGGGCGACGGUUGUCCCGGUUUAAGCGUGUAGGCUGGUUUUCCAGGCAAAUCCGGAAAAUCAAGGCCGAGGCGUGAUGACGAGGCACUACGGUGCUGAAGCAACAAAUGCCCUGCUUCCAGGAAAAGCCUCUAAGCAUCAGGUAACAUCAAAUCGUACCCCAAACCGACACAGGUGGUCAGGUAGAGAAUACCAAGGCGCUUGAGAGAACUCGGGUGAAGGAACUAGGCAAAAUGGUGCCGUAACUUCGGGAGAAGGCACGCUGAUACGUAGGUGAAGCGACUUGCUCGUGGAGCUGAAAUCAGUCGAAGAUACCAGCUGGCUGCAACUGUUUAUUAAAAACACAGCACUGUGCAAACACGAAAGUGGACGUAUACGGUGUGACGCCUGCCCGGUGCCGGAAGGUUAAUUGAUGGGGUUAGCGCAAGCGAAGCUCUUGAUCGAAGCCCCGGUAAACGGCGGCCGUAACUAUAACGGUCCUAAGGUAGCGAAAUUCCUUGUCGGGUAAGUUCCGACCUGCACGAAUGGCGUAAUGAUGGCCAGGCUGUCUCCACCCGAGACUCAGUGAAAUUGAACUCGCUGUGAAGAUGCAGUGUACCCGCGGCAAGACGGAAAGACCCCGUGAACCUUUACUAUAGCUUGACACUGAACAUUGAGCCUUGAUGUGUAGGAUAGGUGGGAGGCUUUGAAGUGUGGACGCCAGUCUGCAUGGAGCCGACCUUGAAAUACCACCCUUUAAUGUUUGAUGUUCUAACGUGGACCCGUGAUCCGGGUUGCGGACAGUGUCUGGUGGGUAGUUUGACUGGGGCGGUCUCCUCCUAAAGAGUAACGGAGGAGCACGAAGGUUGGCUAAUCCUGGUCGGACAUCAGG
rnacentral:rRNA from 1 species